rnacentral:lncRNA from 10 species
AAAGACCUGUUAGUUCACUUUCCCCAUUUUGCAGGUGAAGAAGCUAAGUCUCAGAAAGAUAACUCACCCAAGAGGACACAAGGAUAAACCUGAUACCCAUGGCAGUAGAAAGCCUACACUUACCCACUCAGAUGCUCAUCAAUGGAGGAGAGACUUAUGCCUGGAGGAACUUGGAAAUCAAACUCGAAGGAUCAUUCCAGCUGCUGGGAGAAGAAUCCAAUACAGGGAAGCAAAGAUGGGAGGUGGGAGCUAGAUCUGAGAGGAGGCUAUGGCAGUACCCUUGGAUUGUCGUGGAUUGGAUUAGUAUGGUAAUGGAAGAGUUGGAGAAAAGAAGUGGUAAUCUACAUAUAGUUUGAAGAUAAGCUUAUAGGAAUUUCUUAUGUAUUCCUGUGAUGUUAGAUAAAGAGAGAAAUCAAUAAUGACCAGGAUGCUUGCCCUGAGAAUCUUGGAGAAUGAAGCUGUCAUUUACUGAGAAGAGGAAAACUAUGGAAUGAGCAAUUCUUUUUUUUCCAGGGGCAGGGGAGGUAGAUAUUUAGCUGAUAAGCGUCCACCAGUGGAAGCAAGAUUGAAAACGGACAUGCAGAUGGACACAGCCAAAGAAUCAAUGAGCUUGAAGAUAUGGCAGUGGAAACUUCCCAAACUGAAAUGGAAAGAGAAAAGAGAAGAAUAAUGCAAAAGUCAAUAUACUUUUAAAGGACCAGGAUAAAAAACAAAACAAAACAAAAAAAACACCCAACCAGAGCAGAACAUCUAAAAUCUGUGGGAACGCCUAUCUCAUCCCAUGUCACCAGGGCAAGGCAGACUAGGAAACUUCCCCGUGGAAUAAGCCAUACUAGAAAGUCAACAGAGGAAACAGAGAACAUUGUAACAGAAGAGAGGAUCCAGAAACAAUGGAGAAGACGGUCAUUUGGUGUCCCUAAC